rnacentral:rRNA from 1 species
AGAGAGUUCAAGAGUACGUGAAACCGUUUAGGGGUAAACCUGAGAAACCCGAAAGGUCGAAGGGAGAAAUUCAUUCGCGUCUCGACGCAGGCGUCGGACGGGGUCAGAGCGACGGAACGGGCGCGCGUUUUUCUUCGGAAUCGCGCGUUCGAUUUUGCGCCCUCCGUCCUUCGAACCGGCUGCGAACGCGUGCACUUUUCUCCUGGUAGGACGUCGCGAUCCGUCGGGCGUCGGUCUACGACUUGCGGCGGAGACCGUCCGUCGUUCUCACGAACGUACGGCGCGGACCCGCUCGUUCCGGCCGACUCGCUCGACGGUAAGCUCGAGGUCUGGGGUCGCUACGAUAUCUAUACCGUAGAGCGUUCGACUCGUCGCAAGCGCGUCACGUGCGUCGGCACGCGGACCCGGUGCCGCGUCCGAUCUCUGGCGACUGUUGGCGACGAAGUUCUCGGACAGACUUCCAUAAAAAAGGGGCGGGGAGGAGAAGAAGGGGGUUCGCGCUUCCUUCUCGCUCUCUCUCUGUCUCUCGAAGACCGAUCGGCGACGCUAUAGCUUUGGGUACUUUCAGGACCCGUCUUG